GACGAACGCUGGCGGCGUGCUUAACACAUGCAAGUCGUACGGUAAGGCCCUUUCGGGGGUACACGAGUGGCGAACGGGUGAGUAACACGUGAGUAACCUGCCCACAACUUUGGGAUAACGCUAGGAAACUGGUGCUAAUACUGGAUAUGUGCUCCUGCUGCAUGGUGGGGGUUGGUAAGCUCCGGCGGUUGUGGAUGGACUCGCGGCCUAUCAGCUUGUUGGUGGGGUAGUGGCCUACCAAGGCGGCGACGGGUAGCCGGCCUGAGAGGGUGACCGGCCACAUUGGGACUGAGAUACGGCCCAGACUCCUACGGGAGGCAGCAGUGGGGAAUAUUGCACAAUGGGCGCAAGCCUGAUGCAGCAACGCCGCGUGCGGGAUGACGGCCUUCGGGUUGUAAACCGCUUUCAGCAGGGACGAAGCUUUUUGUGACGGUACCUGCAGAAGAAGCACCGGCUAACUACGUG
rnacentral:rRNA from 1 species